rnacentral:rRNA from 1 species
UACGUAGGGUGCGAGCGUUAAUCGGAAUUACUGGGCGUAAAGCGUGCGUAGGCGGUUCGUUAAGUCAGCUGUGAAAGCCCCGGGCUCAACCUGGGAACUGCGGUUGAAACUGGCGAACUAGAAUCUGGCAGAGGGGGGUGGAAUUCCACGUGUAGCAGUGAAAUGCGUAGAGAUGUGGAGGAACACCGAUGGCGAAGGCAGCUCGCUGGGACGGUACUGACGCUGAGACGCGAAAGCGUGGGGAGCAAACAGG